GAGAGGACCUGUCUCCUACGUGGGGUGAAGAUCUUGCGAGAGGACGGGUCUCCUUCCUGGGGUGAAGAUCUCGGGAGAGGCCGGAUCUCCCGCGCGGGGCGAAGAUCUCGGGAGAGGACGGGUCUCCUGCGCAGGGUGAAGAUCUCACGAGAGGAUGGGUCUCCUGUGUGGGGGGAAGAGCCACACACAGAGAAGCCCAGGACCCUGUGCAUAGAGCAACAGCUUUCAGAUGAUGAGCUUUGAUUAACGGAGGCAUUCAUCAAUGCACAGAGGCAAAACCAGUGUCCUCAGAGUAUCCAGACCCUGAAAGCUGAAAGAAGGAAUGAAAAACCUGCCUCUGGAAGUGGCAUUGGCAAGGUAUGACCACAAGGAAAGCAGCAUGAGAUGCUCCUUCCCUGCUUCAACCAUGCUGAGACCUGACUCAUUGGUGGACUAGAGAAAAUCAAGGGCACAGUCCUUCCAGGUAGUUAAAAGCAUCUGUCAGAUUCCGAAAUCUCCAGUCACUGCCAGCCUCAUCUGAAAUCCCAAGUCACCUGCUCACAGGAUGGAGGAAGCGGAGGACUCUGCUCUGUCCUGGGGUUCCUGAGGCCUGCAGUGAUGUUCCAUGCAAAGGGCCAUCCCCAAGAGGAUAGGAUGGACCAAGAAUUAGGAACAUGCAGAGAAGGGCUUGAGACUUUUUAGGGUCACAGCUGGUCCAACGGUCUGAGAAAGGGAAGUCCAGACACCUGGCCUCUGCUCUGGACAGAAGCCGAGAAGUGGUCUGCAGAUCAGGAUGCCAUGACUGCCACUCUGGGCAUCUCUCACACGCUCAGCGUGUCUCAGUUCCAUGGUGGGAACCACUGUCCUCAGGAAAAGCUGUUUUCUUUCUGUGUGAAAGUAACCACCCGAAUCCCCAAGGAAACAGGAAGAAAAGGUCGGCAACAAAAUACCUAUUAAAAUUCUCCACAUUUUGGCCAGGCACAGUGACUCUCGCCUGUAAUCCUAGCACUUUGGGAGGCCAAGGUGGGGC